rnacentral:rRNA from 1 species
GACGAACGCUGGCGGCGUGCUUAACACAUGCAAGUCGAACGGAAAGGCCCCCAUCUUGGUGGGGGUGCUCGAGUGGCGAACGGGUGAGUAACACGUGGGUGAUCUGCCCUGUACUUCGGGAUAAGCUUGGGAAACUGGGUCUAAUACCGGAUAGGACCAUGGUUUAGUGUCUCAUGGUGGAAAGAUUAUUGUUUUGGUGCAGGAUGAGCUCGCGGCCUAUCAGCUUGUUGGUGGGGUAAUGGCCUACCAAGGCGUCGACGGGUAGCCGGCCUGAGAGGGUGGACGGCCACAAUGGGACUGAGAUACGGCCCAGACUCCUACGGGAGGCAGCAGGGGGGAAGAUUGCACAAUGGGCGCAAGCCGGAUGCAGCGACGCCGCGUGGGGGAUGACGGCCUUCGGGUGGUAAACUCCUUUCGUUAGGGACGAAGCCGCACUUUUUUGGGGUGUGGUGACGGUACCUUUGUUAAGAAGCACCGGCUAACUACGUG